AGCAGGGCAAGGGCAGGGACAGGAGCUUCCUCCGGCGGGAAACGGCAAAUUUUUUGCGCGAGGACCUCAAAUAUUUCCUCCCCAAAUUCCCCAAAACCCCCUCUCCAUCGGCACUGCUCUCCGAACCCUAGAGAUAGAAAGGGCGGAAACCCUAGCCAUGGUGAUCGCCGUGGAGGGCAACGGGUUCGUGCACGGCGAGGAGGAGGAAGCGGAGGACAACGACCGCCCCAUCCGCUACCUCCCCCUUGGCCACGUUUACUCCUCCUCCGCCCCCGCCCCGCGCUCCCCGGCCCUGAAGAAGCCCCGCGUCGACGACGGCAAGCCCCCCUUGAAAGUGUACUACCGCCGCCACCGCAAGAAGCCGCGGGUCGAGGAGGCACCGCCGCCGCCCUCGAUGGCCCCACCCGCGCCGCGGGUGCAGGAUGAGGACGCUGGGUCCUCGCGGCGGAAGGGCUCCCUCAAGCACGAACUGCUCAGCCUGGGGUCCGCCCAUCCUGCAUUGGACGGGGACGGGGACGGGGAGGGAGGGGAGCCCUCGCGGCGCCGAGGGCGAAUGAGACGCGGCGGAGGGGCUGAGGCUAUGGUUUGCUUCUCCGAGCAUGAGAGGCAGGGGCCGGGGAGGCCCAAGGGCUCGGUCGGGAGGAGAUGGGUAGAGUUGGAUAUUCAGAGUGCGGAUCCUAACGCUUUUGUCGGAUUAGUGUGCAAGGUUUUCUGGCCGCUGGAUGAUGAUUGGUACAAGGGCUCCAUCACGGUGUACAAUGAAGCAACCAAGAAGCAUUCGGUGAAGUAUGUUGACGGUGAAGAAGAGGACCUUAGCCUGGCAGAUGAAAGGAUAAAAUUUUCUAUCUCAUCUGAAGAAAUGAAGUCCAUGAAUCUAAGUAUUGGAAUUUCCAAUCAGGAUAAGAAGGGCCAUGAUGAGUUGCUUGCACUUGCUGUUAGCUUUCAUGACUACCAGGGUCUUGACCCAGGUGACCUUGUGUGGGCUAAAAUUACAGGUCAUGCAAUGUGGCCGGCGGUUGUGGUGGAUGAGUCAGAUGUACCUGCAAACAGGGCUUUGAAGCCAGUUCGAUUGGACCAAUCAAUACUUGUUCAAUUCUUUGGUACUCAUGACUUUGCAAGGGUUAAGUUGAAGCAAGCUGUGCCAUUCCUCAAUGGACUUCUUUCAUCUUUGCAUCUCAAAUGCAAGCAAGCAAGUUUCAGUCGGAGCUUAGAAGAAGCCAAGGAAUUUCUGCGCACACAUCAGCUUCCAGAAAUUAUGUUGCAGCUAAGGAAAUCCGUACAACACGAUGGUUCUGAUGUUAAUUCCUGCGAGGACAGGGUAGACUCUUGUGGUAAUUUAUCAGAAGAUAGAUCAGUGCAAAAUGGAGAGGAUUAUGCUGAAAUGACUCAAAUAGAACUAGGAAACCUUCGUGUGAGCAAUUUAGGUAGGAUAGUAUCUGAUUCAGAUCAUUUCCAUAGUAAAAAGCAUAUAUGGCCUGAAGGAUAUACUGCUUUCAGAAAGUUCAUGUCAAUAAUAGACCCAAAUUCAGUAACAUCUUACAAAAUGGAAGUACUAAGGAAUUCAGAUGCAAAAGCCCGCCCAUUGUUUAGGGUGAUCUCAGAAGAUGGAGUGCAGAUUGAUGGAUCUACCCCUAAUGCAUGUUGGAAAGAGAUAUACUGCAGAAUAAAGGAAAAACAGUGCAGUGCUGCCACUGAAUUGGAAAGAAAUGUAUGCCAAAGAUCUGGUUCCUACAUGUUUGGCUUUUCAAAUCCGCAGAUAAGGCAGCUUAUUCAGGAAUUGCCCAAUGCGAGGUCAUGUCUGAAAUAUUUUGAGAACAGUGGGGACACUAUCCUUGGUUACAGAGCUGUUCAUGUUAAUUGGAAGGAUCUGGACUUUUGCAAUGUUUGUGAUAUGGAUGAGGAGUAUGAAGACAACUUAUUUUUACAAUGCGACAAGUGCCGUAUGAUGGUUCAUGCUAGAUGUUACGGCGAACUAAAACAAUUGGAUGGAGGACUUUGGCUUUGCAACUUGUGCCGACCUGGUGCACCUCGCAUGUCUCCAAAAUGCUGCCUAUGUCCAGUCACAGGUGGUGCAAUGAAACCUACAACAGAUGGCCGUUGGGCUCAUCUUGCUUGUGCUAUAUGGAUCCCUGAAACAUGCUUAAAAGAUGUAAAGAGGAUGGAGCCGAUUGAUGGAUUGAGCAGGAUCAACAAGGACCGUUGGAAACUUGUAUGCAGCAUUUGCGGAGUUUCAUAUGGAGUUUGUAUACAGUGUUCUCAUCCUACCUGUCGUGUUGCAUAUCACCCUCUUUGUGCACGUGCUGCUGAUCUUUGUGUUGAGCUUGAAGAUGAUGACAAAAUCCACCACAUGUUACUUGAUGAAGAUGAGGAUCCUUGUAUUCGAUUACUCUCUUACUGCAAAAAGCACAGACAACCAUCUGCUGAACGUCCAUCUCUAGAAAGUGACCCUGCUGAGCCCUUUCAGUUGGUUCAGACAGAUAUGGCUUCAUCAUCCGGUUGUGCAAGGACUGAACCCUAUAAUUUUCACAGGAGAAGGGGCCAAAAGCAACCACAAGUCAUGGCUACUGCUUCCAUGAAACGUUUAUAUGUGGAGAAUAGACCUUAUAUUGUCAGUGGCUACUGCCAAAAUAGAGUAGGCAAUCAUACUUGCAGUGAAUCACUUCAACCGGUUGGCUUGUCAGAUGUUGUGCAGCAAGAAGCUUUCGGCAAUGUUUCUUCUAUGGUUGAAAAAUAUACAAGCAUGAAGGCUACAUUUAGGAAGAGACUAACUUUUGGAAAAUCAAGAAUUCAUGGCUUUGGUGUCUUUGCCAAGGUUGCACACAAGGCAGGAGAUAUGAUGAUUGAAUACAUAGGGGAGAUUGUUAGACCACCGAUAUCAGACAUCAGAGAGCGGCGAAUAUACAACUCACUAGUGGGUGCUGGGACAUAUAUGUUCAGGAUAGAUGAUGAGCGUGUUAUAGAUGCUACUCGGGCAGGAAGUGUAGCUCAUCUUAUCAAUCACUCAUGUGAGCCUAAUUGUUAUUCACGUGCUAUAACUGUUCUUGGGGAUGAACACAUCAUCAUUUUUGCAAAGCGGGACAUAGAUCCAUGGGAAGAGUUGACGUAUGAUUAUAGGUUUUUUUCGAGUGAUCAACGACUUCCCUGUUAUUGUGGAUUCCCCAAAUGCCGAGGAGUUGUUAAUGAUGUUGAGGCAGAAGAACAGGCAGCUAAAAUAAGGUUAAAGAGAAGUGAAUUAUUUCAAAAAGGAGAUAACUAAAGGUCAGUGUACAAAGACCUGCCUGUCUGUGCCAACAUGAAAUUGCUGCUGCUGAGUACCAACGAAGUAGAGAGUAUUCAUCGGUUGGGAGAUGGCACAGGCUUGGGUAAUAUCAUUAUACUUGCCUGUGCCUACUGUCAAAUUAAUUUGCUGAGUUCAUUCUAGGAACUCUGAUAAUUCUUGUCAUUCAUUUAGAAUGGAAUGCCAAUGUAAUUGUAUAGGUAGCCAAUAGGUUAGGCAGGCAAUCCAAUUUGGGAACGGCAGUUGAGUCGAUUGUGUAGAGUACCAUUGAAAUAUUGGGUGUUUACAUGUAAUUUGGCCACUAAUCAUGCCACCUAUAAACCUCUGGAAUUGCGACUUGCGUGAUCCGAUUAAAUAGUCUGAGAUGGCAUGCCAAGUGAAACCAAAAUACAUGGUUGGAAUUUGGGCGAUGCCCUUCCAUGCUACCAUAACAAAUUGUAGCGACAAUGGUUGGGUUUCUAUAGCUUUACGGGAGGAGAAACAUCGACUUCGACUGAAUGCAUGUCUCUGUUACAAAUUUUUAUUGGUA